rnacentral:rRNA from 1 species
UACGUAGGGUGCGAGCGUUAAUCGGAAUUACUGGGCGUAAAGCGUGCGCAGGCGGUUCUCCAAGUCCGUUGUGAAAGCCCCGGGCUCAACCUGGGAACUGCGUUUGGUACUGGCAAGCUAGAGUACGGCAGAGGGGGGUGGAAUUCCACGUGUAGCAGUGAAAUGCGUAGAGAUGUGGAGGAACACCGAUGGCGAAGGCAAUCCCCUGGGCCUGCACUGACGCUCAUGCACGAAAGCGUGGGGAGCAAACAGG